rnacentral:rRNA from 1 species
UACGUAGGCAGCAAGCGUUGUUCGGAAUUACUGGGCGUAAAGAGUGUGUAGGCGGUGUUCUAAGUCUGUUGUGAAAUCUCCCGGCUUAACUGGGAGGGUGCGGCGGAAACUGGAAUGCUAGAGGAUGGGAGAGGUAAGCGGAAUUCCUGGUGUAGCGGUGAAAUGCGUAGAUAUCUGGAGGAACACCGGUGGCGAAGGCGGCAUCCUGGACCGGUAUUGACGCUGAGGCGCGAAAGCCAGGGGAGCAAACGGG